ACGGCGAGUGAACAGGAAAAAGCCCAGCGCUGAAUCCUUUAGCCAUUGGCUACUGGGAACUGUGGCGUAUAGGUGUAAUUAUCCUGGUAUUUUAUGCACCCAAAGUCCCCUUGAGUGGGGCUACAGUCCAUAGAAGGUGCUAGACCUGUACGGGUGAUGAAAUACCGUGGAUUGAUUGCACUUUGGAGUCGGGUUGCUUGAGAUUGCAGCCCAAAGAGGGUGGUAAACCUCAUCUAAGGCUAAAUAUGACCACGAGACCGAUAGCAAACAAGUACCGUGAGGGAAAGUUGCAAAGAACUUUGAAAAGAGAGUUCAAGAGGGCGUGAAACCGCUGAGAUGGAAACGGAUAGAGUUGACGAAACUUAUCGGUAUUCAACCAAUCAUUUUAGCGGUCUUACGGUUUUGUAUCUCAGAAGGAAUUCUUGUUUUUUCUGGGAGCAAUAACGUAAGUUUAAAUAUACUGUUAAAAAUAAUUGGGGUAUUUACCGAUGGUAUGCACUGAAAAUUUCAUUAAAGCAUAUUGAUAGUGUUAUGUAGUGGCCCAUAUCCAUUUAAUUGUUAUGGAAACCUCCAUCCAUUUUUUUUUAGAUAUGUCUUUAAUGGAAUAAAUAUUUGAUGAGCAAUUUUCGCUUGGUGUGCAUCAUUCAUUUAAUGAAUUGGUUAUUUUUUUUUGGAACAGUCGCAUGCGACUUGUUUAUAAAGAAUGAUUAAUUCGGAAUGAUGAUGCGUCAAAAAAAAAAUUGCAUUUCAGUGUGAACGUCAAUCACCUAUCCGACCCGUCUUGAAACACGGACCAAGGAGUCUAGCAUAUACGCAAGUUAUUGGGUGGUAAACCCAGUUAAAAGCAUAAUGAAAGUAAAGAUCAUCAUUUUGUUAUGAUUGAUAUGUGAUCUGUAUUGAUUGUUGUUGUGUUUUAUUGCGGAACAAUUAAUAUGGCGCAACAUAGCCCCGUCUUGAUUGCUUGCAAUGGGGCGGAGGUAGAGCGUAUAUGCUGGGACCCGAAAGAUGGUGAACUAUACCUGAGCAGGAUGAAGCCAGAGGAAACUCUGGUGGAGGUCCGAAGCGAUUCUGACGUGCAAAUCGAUCGUCUGACUUUGGUAUAGGGGCGAAAGACUAAUCGAACUAUCUAGUAGCUGGUUCCCUCUGAAGUUUCCCUCAGGAUAGCUGGAGUACAAUUGGAUGAGCAGUUAUAUUCGGUAAAGCGAAUGAUUAGAGGAAUUGUGGGACGAAACGUCCUCAACCUAUUCUCAAACUUUCAAUGGGUAUGAAGUUUCACUUGCUUAAAUUGAAGUGCAAACAUUGAAUGUGUACUCCAAGUGGGCCAUUUUUGGUAAGCAGAACUGGCGCUGUGGGAUGAACCAAACGUCAAGUUAAAGUGCCAAACUUUCCGCUCAUGAGAUCCCAUGAAAGGCGUUGGUUGAUAUAGACAGCAGGACGGUGGCCAUGGAAGUCGGAAACCGCUAAGGAGUGUGUAACAACUCACCUGCCGAAUCAACUAGCCCUGAAAAUGGAUGGCGCUUGAGCGGGAGACUUAUACUUGACCGUUGCAUGACUUGUAUUGCAAAAGCUAAUGCUAAUCUGGUCGCAACGAGUAAGAGGGUCGCAAUGGUUUGCGUUGAAGGCUUUGGGCGUAGGCCUAGCUGGAGCUUCCAUUGGUGCAGAUCUUGGUGGUAGUAGCAAAUAUUCAAGUGAGAUCCUUGAAGACUGAAGUGGAGAAGGGUUCCACGUGAACAGCAGUUGAAUGUGGGUCAGUCGAUCCUAAGAUAUUGGCUAGUGCCAUAAUUGAAAAAAAUUUAAAUGAGAGAAAUGGAAUUCAAAAUCCAAAUCUCAAAUAAUCGAAAGGGAAACGGGUUAAUAUUCCCGUACCUGGAUACGGAGAUAAAUACUCAUUGGGAGUAUUUAGCGCGGUAACGCAAAUGAACUCGGAAACAUUCAAUAGAGCCCGAGCCAGAGUUCUCUUUUCUGGUUAAGGAACGGACUCCCUGGAAUCGGUUCAGCCGGAGAUAGGGACGUUGUUUCCGUAAAGCGCCACGGUUCCUGUGGUGUCUCGUGCGCUCUAUUGGAUCCAUGAAAAUCCGAGGGAGGCUAUUUGAAUUUCGUACCAGAUCGUACCGAUAUCCGCAGCAGGUCUCCAAGGUGAACAGCCUCUAGUCGAUAGAAUAAUGUAGGUAAGGGAAGUCGGCAAAUUAGAUCCGUAACUUCGGGAUAAGGAUUGGCUCUAAGGACUGGGCCGGUCGGGCUGUAGUGUGAAGUGAGUACGGUUUGAUCGAUGCAGUGCAACGCCUGGUAAAACGGGUGAAGUUCGGCUAAUGUUUGAACUGUCUUAUGGAUCGUUACAGCUGCGUAUUGCAUUCUAAACAGGAAUGUUUAAUACUUCGGCCGGCGCUAAACAGUCAACUUAGAACUGGCACGGACUCGGGGAAUCCGACUGUCUAAUUAAAACAGAGGAGACAGAUGGCCCUUGCGGGCGUUGACUGUCUCUGAUUUCUGCCCAGUGCUCUGAAUGUAAAAGUGAAGAAAUUCAACCAAGCGCGGGUAAACGGCGGGAGUAACUAUGACUCUCUUAAGGUAGCCAAAUGCCUCGUCAUCUAAUUCGUGACGCGCAUGAAUGGAUUAACGAGAUUCCCACUGUCCCUAUCUACUAUCUAGCGAAACCACAGCCAAGGGAACGGGCUUGGCAAAAACAGCGGGGAAAGAAGACCCUGUUGAGCUUGACUCUAGUCCGACUCUGUGAAGAGUCAUGAGAGGUGUAGCAUAAGUGGGAGGCUUUGCCGCCAGUGAAAUACCACUACUUUCAUCGAUUCUUUACUUAUUCGGUAAGACGAGAAUUGAAACAUUUACGUGUUUCGAAAUUUUUGAUUUAAGUACUGAUCACUCGGUGAUCGUACGACUCGCACCGAAGACAGUGUCAGGCGGGGAGUUUGACUGGGGCGGUACAUCUGUCAAAACGUAACGCAGGUGUCCUAAGGCUAGCUCAGAGAGGACGGAAACCUCUCGUAGAGUAAAAGGGCAAAAGCUCGCUUGAUCUUGAUUUCCAGUACGAAUACAGACCGCGAAAGCGUGGCCUAUCGAUCCUUUUGAAUUUAGAAGGUUUCUAGCAAGAGGUGUCAGAAAAGUUACCACAGGGAUAACUGGCUUGUGGCAGCCAAGCGUCCAUAGCGACGUUGCUUUUUGAUCCUUCGAUGUCGGCUCUUCCUAUCAUUGCGAAGCAGAAUUCGCCAAGCGUUGGAUUGUUCACCCACCAAUAGGG
rnacentral:rRNA from 1 species